AUUGAACGCUAGCGGGAUGCUUUACACAUGCAAGUCGAACGAGUGGCGGACGGGUGAGUAAUAUAUCGGACCGUGCCCAGUAGCGGGGGAUAACUACUCGAAAGAUUGGCUAAUACCGCAUACUAUUAGAGCGGCCGAUAUCGGAUUGGCUAGUUGGUGGGGUAAAGGCUCACCAAGGCAACGAUCCGUAGCUGGUUUGAGAGGACGACCAGCACAAAUGGGACGUGGACACGGCCAAGACUCCGACGGGAGGCAGCAGUGGGGAAUUUUGGACAAUGGGGGAAACCCUGAUCCAGCCAUCCCGCGUGUAUGAGAAGGUCUUCGGGUUGUAAAGUACUUUUGGCAGAGAAGCGGUAUCUGAAGAAUAAGCACCGGCUAACUACGUGCCAGCAGCCGCGGUAAUUC
rnacentral:rRNA from 1 species